rnacentral:rRNA from 1 species
AUUCCAGCUCCAAUAGCGUAUAUUAAAGUUGUUGCAGUUAAAAAGCUCGUAGUCGGAUUUUGGCAUCACGCCGCACUGUCUGCCGAUUGGUAAGUACGGUUUGGCGGGUGCUUCCUUCCGGUGCUGCGUUCUGCUCUUAGUUGAGCGGUUCGUUGGUUCCGGUUCUUUUACUUUGAGAAAAUUAGAGUGUUCAAAGCAGGCCUAUGCUCUGAAUAGGUUAGCAUGGAAUAAUAGAAUAGGACUUUGGUUCUAUUUUGUUGGUUUCUAGGACCGAAGUAAUGAUAAAUAGGGACAGUUGGGGGCAUUCAUAUUCCAUUGUCAGAGGUGAAAUUCUUGGAUUAACGGAAGAUGAACUUCUGCGAAAGCAUCUGCCAAGGAUGUUUUCAUCA